GUACACUCCUGCGGGAGGCAGCAGUGGGGAAUAUUGGACAAUGGGCGCAAGCCUGAUCCAGCCAUGCCGCGUGAGUGAUGAAGGACCUAGGGUUGUAAAGCUCUUUCACCGGUGAAGAUAAUGACGGUAACCGGAGAAGAAGCCCCGGCUAACUUCGUGCCAGCAGCCGCGGUAAUACGAAGGGGGCUAGCGUUGUUCGGAUUUACUGGGCGUAAAGCGCACGUAGGCGGACUAUUAAGUCAGGGGUGAAAUCCCGGGGCUCAACCCCGGAACUGCCUUUGAUACUGGUAGUCUUGAGUUCGAGAGAGGUGAGUGGAAUUCCGAGUGUAGAGGUGAAAUUCGUAGAUAUUCGGAGGAACACCAGUGGCGAAGGCGGCUCACUGGCUCGAUACUGACGCUGAGGUGCGAAAGCGUGGGGAGCAAACAGGAUUAGAUACCCGAGUAGUCCCA
rnacentral:rRNA from 1 species